rnacentral:snRNA from 1 species
GUGCUCACUUCAGCAGCAGAUAAACUAAAAUUGGAACAAUACAGAGAAGAUUAAACUGGUCCCUACACAAAGAUGACAUGCAAAUUUGUUAAGCAUUCCAUAUUUUU